AGAGUUUGAUCCUGGCUCAGGACGAACGCUGGCGGCGUGCUUAACACAUGCAAGUGGAGCGACGAACCAGGGCUUGCCCUGGGGCAGAGCCGCGAACGGGUGAGUAACACGUGGGUAACGUGCCCCAAUGAUCGGGACAACCCGGGGAAACCCGGGCUAAUACCGAAUGUGCUCCCCUCACACCAGUGAGGGGUGGAAAGGAAGCUUCGGCCUCCGCAUUGGGAUCGGCCCGCGGCCCAUUAGCUUGUUGGUGAGGUAACGGCUCACCAAGGCUGCGAUGGGUAGCUGGUCUGAGAGGACGAUCAGCCACACUGGGACUGAGACACGGCCCAGACUCCUACGGGAGGCAGCAGUGGGGAAUCUUGCGCAAUGCGCGAAAGCGUGACGCAGCAACGCCGCGUGGGGGAAGAAGGCCUUCGGGUUGUAAACCCCUUUCAGGAGGGACGAAGCCUUGGCGGUUAAUAGCCGACCGAGGUGACGGUACCUCCAGAAGAAGCCCCGGCUAACUACGUGCCAGCCGCCGCGGUAAUAC
rnacentral:rRNA from 1 species